GAUGAAGAACGUAUCGAAAUGCGAUAAGUAAUGUGAAUUGCAGAAUUCAGUGAAUCAUCGAAUCUUUGAACGCACAUUGCGCCCGCCAGUAUUCUGGCGGGCAUGCCUGUCCGAGCGUCAUUUCAACCCUCGAACCCCUCCGGGGGGUCGGCGUUGGGGAUCGGCCCUGCCUUUGGCGGUGGCCGUCUCCGAAAUACAGUGGCGGUCUCGCCGCAGCCUCUCCUGCGCAGUAGUUUGCACACUCGCAUCGGGAGCGCGGCGCGUCCACAGCCGUUAAACACCCAACUUCUGAAAUGUUGACCUCGGAUCAGGUAGGAAUACCCGCUGAACUUAAGCAUAUCAAUAAGCGGAGGA
rnacentral:misc_RNA from 1 species